AGCAAUAAAAAUAAUCAAAACUAAUCAAAACCACGAAGAAUUGCUAAGAUAUAUAUCUUAAAUAAGAUGUUUUUGAGAUGUUAAGAUGUGCAUACGUGUCGACUAAUGAGUGGGCGAAAAAAUGAACAAAAGGAAAAAAAAUGCUUCCGACACGUCUUCGAUUUCAUCUCUUUUUCUCUAUUUCUCGAAUCCUCCGACGACGAAAUCUCUCCAACGCAUCUUGAUCCGUCGAAUUGAGAGGAAAAAUUAGGCAGAAUUUCCGCCGCCGUAACGCCGUUGUUUUCUCCACGAAGCUUGAUUUUUUGAUUUUAGAUAGAUUUUGAAUUAACCUUUUUAGACGUAAUUGGAAAUUUCAUCGCCGCGGAGGAGAUGAGGAGCGUGUUGUUGUGGAUUGCGGUGGUCGUGUGCUUGUUAUGUUCAGUCGCGGCGGUGGUUCAAAGCGGAUUUAGCCAUUGUUUUUUUGAAACGAGAGAUACUGAGACUGCGAUAUCUUUGCUGGAGAAUAAAUUGAUCGGUUCCAAUGGUACCUCUCACCUUGAUUCAGGCAGCUGACUCUAAAGGAGCUGGUUCAGUCUUCGAUGUUGCCAUUGUAUCAAGUAGAUCAAACUCUUUGUUGUUUGUGCAUUGCUUUCUUCGAGGGGACAAAACCGAGAGAAUCUGUGAGCGGAAGUUAGACGGUAACAACGUCGGGUUGGUUUGGAAAAGAUGUUGAAUGAAUGGCUCAGAUUUGGUUGAAGUGAUGAAUGUUUAAGUUCUUCCUCUUUCAUUUGCAAAAAAGCUUGUAUGAGUUUGGUUGUAUGAAUGCUUGUAUUAGAAGAUAUUGUUUUGCAAAAUUUGAAUUUGUUUUAUCUUAAGAACCCAUUGAUUCUUAACCAUUGGAAGGCAAAUUUGUUAAGAUC